UGAAUACGAGACGCUACGGCGUCGAAGCAGUCUAUGUCAUACUUCCAAGAAAAGCUUGCACUGUCAUAAACAAAUAAUGCCUGUACCAUAACCGACACAGGUGGGUAGGUAGAGUAUACUAAGGGGCGCGAGAUAACUCUCUCUAAGGAACUCGGCAAAAUGACUCCGUAACUUCGGGAGAAGGAGUGCCUUAUUUAUAAGGUUGCAAUAACAAGAUCCAAGCAACUGUUUAUCAAAAACACAGGUCUCCGCUAAGUCGUAAGACGAUGUAUGGGGGCUGACGCCUGCCCAGUGCCAGAAGGUUAAAGAAGUUGGUUAGCAUUAGCGAAGCUGAUAACUGAAGCCCUGGUGAACGGCGGCCGUAACAAUAACGGUCCUAAGGUAGCGAAAUUCCUUGUCGGGUAAGUUCCGUCCCGCACGAAAGGCGUAAUGAUUUGGAUACUGUCUCAGAGAGGGGCUCGGUGAAAUAGACUUGUCUGUGAAGAUGCGGACUACCUGCACCAGGACAGAAAGACCCUAUGAAGCUUUACUGUAACUUGAAAUUGAAAUUGGACUUUAUUUGCGCAGUAUAGGUGGGAGGCAUUGAUAAUAUUCUUGCGGGAAUGUUGGAGCCAUCAGUGAGAUACCACUCUUGUAAUGUUAGAUUUCUAACUUUGGAUCAUUAUCUGGUCAAAGGACAGUUUCAGGCGGGCAGUUUGACUGGGGCGGUCGCCUCCUAAAUGGUAACGGAGGCGCACAAAGGUUUCCUCUGAACGGGUAGAAAUCGUAUCUAGAGUGUAAAGGCAUAAGGAAGCUUGACUGUGAGACCUACAAGUCGAGCAGGGACGAAAGUCGGUCUUAGUGAUCUGACGGUGCUGAGUGGAAAGGCCGUCACUCAACGGAUAAAAGUUACUCUAGGAUAACAGGCUGAUCUCCCCCAAGAGUUCACAUCGACGGGGAGGUUUGGCACCUCGAUGUCGGCUCAUCGCAUCCUGGGGCGGUAGUACGUCCCAAGGGUUGGGCUGUUCGCCCAUGAAAGCGGUACGCGAGCUGGGUUCAGAACGUCGUGAGACAGUUCGGUCCAUAUCCGGUGUAGGCGUUAGAAUAUUGAGAGGAGCCUUCUUUAGUACGAGAGGACCGAGAAGGACAUACCUCUGGUGUACCAGUUAUCGUGCCAACGGUAAACGCUGGGUAGCUAUGUAUGGAGAGGAUAACCGCUGAAAGCAUCUAAGUGGGAAGCCCACCUCAAGAUAAG
rnacentral:rRNA from 1 species